AUACCAGCAGGGGGCAGUGUGACACUGACCUGUGAUGUGAAACACUCUGCUGACUUAAAAUAUGAGUGGGUCAGAGAAACCUCAUCUGCAGUGAAGUCCACAGAAGCCGUUGGAUCAGAUAAAGUGAUCAGGAUCUCUAAAGGAGGAAAAUACCAAUGCAGAGGAUGGAGAACAGACAUAAACUCACUCAUAGCACAAAGUGAUCCAGUCAUCAUUCAGGAAACUGUUUCCAACAGGAUCGAUGUGAAACUGCAGCACA